rnacentral:lncRNA from 1 species
CCUGUUGUAUUUAUUGUAAAUUUUGGGUUUUUUUUUUGUCCUUAACUUGCAUAAACAUUUGACACUGGUCAGUGGAUGUUUAAAAAUCAAUCAACUAGCUUCUAGUAAUUUUGAGUACUCAGAUCUGCGUGUAAUGACCACAAUUGUUCAAAUAUCUAAGCAGGUAGGGAUUUUACAGUAGAGGAUAAAAAAAAUUAUAAAGAAACACGAAUUUCUUGAAUUUUGAUACGAUAGUAUGAACAGAACAGAACUUUUGCAUUAGGCAUGGACUAUGUGUGUAUGUGUUUGUGUGGCUAGGGUGAAGGUUUAAGAAUCAAAAGAUUGAUGUUUUUUGCCAAAAGGAUAGUUUUAUUUUAUAGUAAUAUCAGUGUUUAUGUGCCUAUUUUUUUUUUAAAUAAAUGAUUAUCACAAAAUGUACUGUUAAAUAAGUUAAACGUAUAUAUCAAUCAGAACGGAAUAAGUAUGAAAAGACCAAACAGGGUGUACUGCUUAAUUGAAGAGAUACGCUGAUCAGGAACAUAUAUAUUGUUAUUGUUAUUGUAAAUAUAUUUUUUUUCAUAUUUCCGAUUGUAC